rnacentral:misc_RNA from 1 species
UUAAGUUCAGCGGGUAUUCCUACCUGAUCCGAGGUCAACCUUAAGAAGUUCGGCUUGCGCCGGGGUUUUACGGCCGGGAGCCCCCCCGCGGACCUCCAGAGCGAGAAUGUUACUACUGCGCUCGGAGCCGCGGCGGGUCCGCCACUGUCUCUGGGGGCCUCCCGCGGAGGGAGAGCCCCGACGCCAGGCACCAGGGCCUG